rnacentral:rRNA from 1 species
UACGGGGGGAGCAAGCGUUGUUCGGAUUUACUGGGCGUAAAGGGCGCGUAGGCGGCCACUGCAAGUCAGUUGUGAAAUCUCCGGGCUUAACCCGGAAAGGUCAACUGAUACUGCAGGGCUCGAGUUCGGUAGGGGAGACUGGAAUUCCUGGUGUAGCGGUGAAAUGCGCAGAUAUCAGGAGGAACACCGGUGGCGAAGGCGGGUCUCUGGGCCGAUACUGACGCUGAGACACGAAAGCGUGGGUAGCAAACAGG